rnacentral:rRNA from 1 species
AUACGGAGGGUGCAAGCGUUAUCCGGAUUCACUGGGUUUAAAGGGUGCGUAGGUGGGCUAGUAAGUCCGUGGUGAAAUCUCUGAGCUUAACUCGGAAACUGCCGUGGAUACUAUUAGUCUUGAAUAUCGUGGAGGUAAGCGGAAUAUGUCAUGUAGCGGUGAAAUGCUUAGAUAUGACAUAGAACACCGAUAGCGAAGGCAGCUUGCUACACGAUCAUUGACACUGAGGCACGAAAGCGUGGGGAUCAAACA